GACGAACGCUGGCGGCGUGCUUAACACAUGCAAGUCGAGCGGUAAGGCCCUUCGUUGUACACGAGCGGCGAACGGGUGCGUAACACGUGAGUAAUCUGCCCAUCACUUCGGGAUAACUCCGGGAAACCGGUGCUAAUACUGAAUCUGACCACUUCAGGCCUCUGCUGGUGGUGGAAAGUUCCGGCGGUGAUGGAUGAGCUCGCGGCCUAUCAGCUUGUUGGUGGGGUAGUGGCCUACCAAGGCUUCGACGGGUAGCCGGCCUGAGAGGGUGACCGGCCACACUGGGACUGAGACACGGCCCAGACUCCUACGGGAGGCAGCAGUGGGGAAUAUUGGACAAUGGGCGAAAGCCUGAUCCAGCAACGCCGCGUGAGGGAUGACGGCCUUCGGGUUGUAAACCUCUUUCAGCAGGGACGAAGCGAAAGUGACGGUACCUGCAGAAGAAGCACCGGCCAACUACGUG
rnacentral:rRNA from 1 species